rnacentral:rRNA from 1 species
UACGUAGGGGGCAAGCGUUGUCCGGAAUUACUGGGCGUAAAGGGCGCGUAGGCGGUCGUGACAGGUCACUUGUGAAAUCUCCGGGCUUAACUCGGAACGGUCAAGUGAUACUGUCGGACUAGAGUACAGAAGGGGCAACUGGAAUUCUCGGUGUAGCGGUGAAAUGCGUAGAUAUCGAGAGGAACACCUGCGGCGAAGGCGGGUUGCUGGGCUGAUACUGACGCUGAGGCGCGAAAGCCAGGGGAGCGAACGGG